AGUUCGAUUAUGGCUCAGAUUGAAGCUGGCGGGAUGCUUUACACAUGCAAGUCGAACGGCAGCACGGACUUCGGUCUGGUGGCGAGUGGCGAACGGGUGAGUAAUGCAUCGGAACGUGCCUAGUAGGAUAACUGAAAGCAGAUAAUAACGCAUACGGCCCUUCGGGGAAAGCGGGGACCUUCGGGCCUUCAAUUAUUAGAGCGGCCGAUAUCGGAUUAGCCAGUUGGUGGGGUAAUGGCUCAACAAGGCGACGAUCCGUAGCUGGAUGAGAGUGACGACCAGCCAAUACCUGGGACUGAGACACGGCCCAGACUCCUACGGGAGGCAGCAGGGGGAAUUUGAUGUCAUGGGGGAAACCCCCUGGAUCCAGCCAUCCCGCGGCGAGAAGGCCUUUGGGUUGUAAAGCACCUUUGGCAGGAGGGCAGUGGCACGGGAUAAUACCCCGUGCAACUGACGGUACCUGCAGAAUAAGCACCGGCUAACUACGCCAGCAGCCGCGGUAAUACGUAGGGUGCAAGCGUUAAUCGGAAUUACUGGGCGUAAAGCGUGCGCAGGUGGUUCGGAAAGAAAAAGAUGUGAACCCAGAGCUUAACUUUGGAACUGCAUUUUUAACUACCGAGCUAGAGUGUGUCGAGGGAGGUGGAAUUCCGCGUGUAGCAGUGAAAUGCGAGAAAGCGGAGGAACACCGAUGGCGGAAGGCAGCCUCCUGGGAUAACACUGACGCUCAUGCACGAAAAGCGGGGAGCAGGAUUAGAUACUCCCAGAAACCAUUGCCCAAACGACGUCAACUAGUUGGGGCCUUCGGGUAGCGCAGCUAACGCGUGAAGCUUAACGCCUGGGGAGUACGGUCGCAAGAUUAAAACUCAAAGGAAUUGACGGGGACCCGCACAAGCGGUGGAUGAUGUGGAUUAAUUCGAUGCAACGAAAACCUUACCUACCCUUGCAUGUCUGGAAUCCCGAAGAGAUUUGGGAAAGGCUGCAAGAGAACCGGAACACAGGUGCUGCAUGGCUGUCGUCAGCUCGUGUCGAGAUGUUGGGUUAAGUCCCGCAACGAGCGCAACCCUUGUCAUUAGUUGCUACGAAAGGGCACUCUAUCGAGACUGCCGGUGACAAACAGAGGAAGGUAUGACGUCAAGUCCUCAUGGCCCUUAUGGUAGCUUCACACGCUCGCGAAGAAUGGUCGGGACAGGGUCGCCACCGCGAGGGGGAGCCAAUCCCAGAAACCCGAUCGUAGUCCGGAUCGCAGUUCGCAACCCCGACCGCGUGAAGUCGGCCCGCUAGUAACGCGGAUCAGCAUAAGAACGCGUGAAUACAGUUCCCGGGUCUUGUACACACCGCCCGUCACACCAGGGAGUGGUUUACCAGAAGUAGUUAGCCUAACCGUAAGGAGGGCGAUUACCACGGUAGGAUUCAUGACUGGGGUGAAGCCGAAUAAGGUA
rnacentral:rRNA from 1 species